rnacentral:rRNA from 1 species
UUUUUGACCCGGUGACUUAAGCAUAUCAAUAAGCGGAGGAAAAGAAACUAACAAGGAUUCCCCUAGUAACUGCGAGUGAAGCGGGAAAAGCUCAAAUUUAAAAUCUGGCGGUCCUUGGCCGUCCGAGUUGUAAUCUAGAGAAGUGUUACCCGCGCUGGACCGUGUACAAGUCUCCUGGAAUGGAGCGUCAUAGAGGGUGAGAAUCCCGUCUCUGACACGGACUACCAGGGCUUUGUGGUAUGCUCUCAAAGAGUCGAGUUGUUUGGGAAUGCAGCUCAAAAUGGGUGGUAAAUUCCAUCUAAAGCUAAAUAUUGGCGAGAGACCGAUAGCGAACAAGUACCGUGAGGGAAAGAUGAAAAGAACUUUGGAAAGAGAGUUAAACAGUACGUGAAAUUGCUGAAAGGGAAACGCUUGAAGUCAGUCGCGUUGGCCGGGGAUCAGCCUUGCUCUUGCAUGGUGUACUUUCCGGUUGACGGGUCAGCAUCAAUUUUGACCGCUGGAAAAAGGCUUGGGGAAUGUGGCAGCUCCGGCUGUGUUAUAGCCCCUUGUCAUAUACAGCGGUUGGGAUUGAGGAACUCAGCACGCCGCAAGGCCGGGGUCAAACCACGUUCGUGCUUAGGAUGCUGGCAUAAUGGCUUUAAGCGACCCGUCUUGAAACACGGACCAAGGAGUCUAACAUGCCUGCGAGUGUUUGGGUGGAAAACCCGAGCGCGUAAUGAAAGUGAAAGUUGAGAUCCCUGUCGUGGGGAGCAUCGACACCCGGACCAGAACUUUUGGGACGGAUCCGCGGUAGAGCAUGUAUGUUGGGACCCGAAAGAUGGUGAACUAUGCCUGAAUAGGUGAAGCCAGAGGAAACUCUGGUGGAGGCUCGUACCGAUUCUGACGUGCAAAUCGAUCGUCAAAUUUGGGUAUAGGGGCGAAAGACUAAUCGAACAAUCUAGUAGCCUGGGUUCCCUGCCGAAGUCCCCUCCUCCGGAUAGAAAAAA